ACUCCUUUUUGGUUCAUAAGCAUGAUGAUUGGGUGUUCAAGUUGUCGUGUAAGGUGUGCCUUCCUUUAAACCUUGUGGGAAUGCUGGCACUGUACACAACGUGGACC
rnacentral:snoRNA from 1 species